ensembl:lncRNA novel transcript
AGUGCUGAUGGGAAUAUGAGGGCAGCUAGUGAUUGCUUUCAUCGCCAUCUGCCUGUUGCUGCUGUUUUUUCACUUCAUCCUGUCUAGGCCAGAUUCUGUUUUGGUCAGCAGGAUUGUGACCAGAACACAAGCCCUGCCCAUCUCCUGCCUCGGAAAAUAAGCUUCUGUUGUCAGACACCAAUAUUCCAUUUUCCACAUUUGGAGGUGUGCAUUUGUUAGGUAUAAUGCACUGAGGGACUGGGCCGCUCCAGACGACCACUUGAUCAUCUUUGCUGGUGCAGUAUAUGGAGGGCUCACCCACGAGCUCAAACACCUUUCUCCCUCUGCUUCCAAGAUUGCAGUGAGACAGGGUUUCACCAUGUUGUACAGGCUGGUCUCGACCUCCUGGGCUCAAGCGAUCUGCUCACCUAGGACUCCCAAAGUGCUGGGAUUACAGGUGUGAGCCACCACACCUGGCCCAGUAUAACAUCUUUAUUAAAUAAUAAGAACAAAAGCUCUGGCAGAACUAAUAAAGACAAAGCAAACACAAAUAUACAAUAUUACAUAUAAUAAACAU